CAGUUUACCUCAGAUUUGUUUUGCGGUAAUUACUAUUAUUGUUCAUAUUUUAUUUGAUUUCUGUAAUAAGGAUGACGGAAUACAGUGGCAUCUAGUGCUCGAUUUUAUCAGCCGCACUAGCAGAAGGGAGCUCCGUGAAAGUGGGUCACCUUCCGGAUCAAUCCAGACCCUGCGGUUUCUCCCGAGAGAUUGCCAUUAUCUGCACACACACAGAGAGCAUCAGUCAACACACAGGACCCCUGACCUUUAACCUGACACCGCAUCAGCCAUUGGCAGCAUGACGCCAGCC
rnacentral:lncRNA from 1 species